UUAUUAUAAAUUUACAUAAUGAUAAUGAAUUUUGAGCUGAACCGAUAUCAAAAAGACAGCAUUUCUAUUUACAUUGCUUGUAUCUUAAUUUUCAGAUAUUUUGUGAGUGAUUGCUAUUACAAUUUGUUUAUUGAAAUUAUAUCUCAUUGUACGGCCAUGCUGGAAACCAUUUGACAGCAACAUUAAGGAACAGCUGAGCCAAUAUCAACAAGACGUGCAUUUCAUUUCACACUUGACAUCGUUAACUUUUUCAACUGAAAUUUCAUCAUUCAGGUUUUCAAUUGUCGGUGAAAUCUUGAAAUCGGUCAAUUCACAAAUUGAUUUACUAGUUGGAAUAUGAUUAUUGCUAAUAGAUACAGUACGACGACACUUGCAGAGACAAAAGGAUAACAAUAUGAUCGCAACGCAGAUUGAUGAUGCAUAUAUUGUUUUCGCACUGAGAAACUGUUGGCAUUUAUUUAAAUUUGUAUAAUCUGGACAGUUGUAUGUUAGGAAGGCAGAGAGUUUAUUCAAUUUUGAUGAAGGAGAACUACAAUUAGCAACAUGAGAAUCAAGAAGACACUGUUUCAGUAUCAUUGUCUUACAACAUUGACUUUUCAUGGAGUCCAAAAAAUCAAUCUUUUUAACUUUGGAAUGGCAAUGUUUAGCAAUCAUAUUGAUGUGUGAUGAACAAUCUAAUGACACUGAAGAGACGCCAUAUGAUGAGAGUGCAGAUAGAUUUGGUAGUGAUGGAGUGAUAGUUGAAUAUACGAAAUGGUUGAGCACAGUCGAAAUGAGUAGACCAUAUUUGUAGAAAGGAGCACAUGAAGGCAUAUUUCAAAGAUUACACAAAUACUUGCAGAUACACAAACAGAGACGCAAUUUGAAACAGAGAUGAAAUUUUGGUAAAAUAUAUUAAUGAAGUCAAAAUAAUUAGAUUUAUUCUUGUAGAGCUUAGUCUUCGCUUUGCUCAGACUAAUUAAGGACAGUUUUUAGGCGACUGUACCGACGUUGUAUACACGUUGAGAAAAAAAUAAUAUCAAUACAACUAGAACAUGAAAUAGUGUUAUUGGAAAGUGUUUGAAGUUGAUUGAAGUCAUGUCUCGAUCAUAUUUCAUAACCAUUUGGAUCAACUCCAAGCCUUGCUUCGCUUCACUUUCCUGUUAAGAAGUAAUUAGUAGAUAUUAGAUCUUGAUUGUUUCAUCAAUACUGUAUGAAAUGCCUCCUUAAACUGGAUUCAACACAAUGUUUUACAGAGUCAAGUAACAAAGAUCAUUAACAAAGCCUAAAUUGUUUGAUUGAUUUUAAUUGAAAACAGUUGUACUUGCUGAAGUAUCAAUUGACUGAACAAAGUCUAAACUUUGCAUAAAUUGAAAAAUGAUCCAUUUUAGGAUAACAUUUGAGUUCAUAUCAUGAUACAGUAGAGAGAUAGUCACUUGAACUAGGGAUGGAUUGGACAAUGUUCAAUGGGCAUAAGUUUCGAAAGUAGUUUCUCUGAUUGCUUAGGAAUUAUGGACAUGAUUUUUCACAAAUUCCUCACUUUUUCAAUCUUUUUUACCGUAGCUAGCCAUCCACUUGACAAUUUUUAGGUGAAAAAACUCUGUUUAUUUCGGUUGUUUUAAAAACAGAACAGAAGUAAAAGAGAAUAUCUUACGACCAUCGAAUUCUGUGAGAAUAGCGUUGAGUUAAUAAUAAUGGUAGUUUAUGGACUUCCCAUUCAAUAAGCUUCACCAAUUUUGAAUUCAGGAAAAUUAAGGUUAGCAACUGACUCUAUGGAUUAGUGACUCAUAAUCCCGAGAUUUCCUUACGGGCAAAAGGAACUGGUCAACACCUCCUAAAAUCACCCAAAUUGUACCCUUGGUUUCCAUUUGGAGAAAACAAAAGGGAAACAUGUAAUUUCCGCCUCAACAGCUGAAGGAAUCAAGAAAAAGUCCGAAGUGGCUGGUUUGGUGUCUGGUACUUCACUCGGUGUCGCCAAAGCAGCAUUGAAGAAGCCUAUUUUUAUUGAAAAGACGAUUGUUUCUUUUAAAAAAGUAACCCCCGAAAAACCCAAAUACAAGGUGAUUUGGGUCGAACAAAAAGUGCCAAUCAUGACUCAAGAGCCAGCAACUCCUAUGGAACUCUACAAAAAAGAAACAAAGGUACAUGU